GUCCUUGGUCUUGGUCCUGGUCUUGGGUCCUGGUCCUGGUGCUCAUCCUGGUACUGGUCCUGGUCUUAGUCUGG
rnacentral:miRNA from 1 species